GUGUCACAUGUUACCAUUUCACACAAAAAGUUACAAACGGUUUUAAUGAGCUUAUCAAGUUUGGGUUGCUGUGAGUUUUCCGGGCUUAUGGCCAUGUUCCAAAAGCAUUUUCUCCUGAUGUUUCGCCUGCAUCUAUGGCAGGCAUCCUCCGAGGUUGUGAGGCCUGUUGGAAACUAGGCAAGUGGGGUUUAUAUAUCCGUGGAAGGUCUAGGGUGGGAGAAAGAACUUUUGUCUGCCUGAGGCAGGCGUGAAUGUUUCAAUCAAUAUUGAAUAGCCAUUUAGUUUCGAGGUCUGGCAGCUUCCUGCCUGGGGGAAUCCUUUGUUAGGAGGUGUUAGCUGGCUCUGAUCGUUUCAUGUCUGAAAUUCCUCUCUUUUCUGAGUCUUGUUCUUUAUUCACUGUCCUGAGUUUAGAGUUUUUUAAAAUACUGUUAGCCAGAUUUUGUUCAUUUUCAGGCUUUCCUCCUUUUUGUUGAAAUUGUCCACAUCCUUGUGGAUUUCCAAGGUUUCUUGAAGCUGACAGGCUAUUCAAUGCUAAUCAAAGUGGCCAACUGAACAUUCACACCUGCUUCCAACAGACAAAGCGUUCUUUCUCCCGCCCUUCCACAGAUAUAUAAAUCCCACCUGACUAGUUUCCAACAGAUCUCACUACCUCUGUUUUAAUUAUGUUAUAAAGUUUCACUAACUAUUUUGAGCCAGAAAAGCAUCUAAUAAAAACAAUCCCUGUAUAAGAGGCAUGGGCAAACUUGGGCUUCCUUUCCCCCCUCAGCCGCUUAAGCGAGGAGAAAGAGAAGGAGACGCUUAAGCGGUUGAGGGGGGAAAGGAAGGGGCCUGAGGCUCUGAGGAAGGGUGGGAGUUGGCGCCCAAAACACCUGGAGAGAAAGCCCAAGUUUCCCCAUGCCUGUUGUAUAGUCCUGGGGAGUUUUUAAUGGAGGCGUGCUGUUCCCUUUGCUUUCUGGAGCCGAGAGGCUUUCCUAGCGGGGCCAUGAUGAGGAUUUCAGACCCCGCCCUCCCUCCUGGCUCCUGGCCGGUCUGCCGCCCUCUAAGCAGGAUACGGGCUGGGAAGUUUCAUGGGCGGGAGCCCGACCCCUCCUGCGCGGAAGGGCCGGGCCUGGGCACUGCCCUUCCUUCCCUUCCCUUCCCUUCCCUCCCCUACUUGGGAAGGCAGGUGGGAGCCCAGGCAAGGGGCAGCGGGGCAAGCUCGCCCUCUCUCCCCUCCUGGGCUCCUCCGCUUUGGGAGCGGGCGGCCCCUGCAUGCCCCGCCAGCCGGAGCUGGACGGGCGGCUGCCUUCCUGCCUGACCGGCCACGCACCCACCCAGCCGCCCGCCCAGGCACUGGAGAGCCCUCCCCUCCCCUCUUUCCCUCCCUUCCUCCCUUUCUGUCUCUUCCCGAGGGACGGGCGCAAGGAGGGCGCGCGCAGAGGACCCGACGCCAGUUCGCGGAAAGGGAAACUGCAACCACAGCAGAAAAGAGAGGCCCCACCACACCGAGGAGCCGUUGGAGGGCCUAACCGCACCGACGCGGCGGGAUCUGGGCAGCAGAGGCAGCCGCGGGCGAUGCGCGCACUUUCAGGGGCAGCGGGGUCAUCGCCCUUCCAGCCCCUCCUGCAAUCUGCGCCUCGCUUCUGAACCCUGAUGCGGUGCCCCCGUCCAGGAUGGCUCCUGGCAAGAGGAGAGCUGCUGUGGGCGCUGCCCUAGAGGGUGGAAUGGGCCCAGCGCCUUAAGGGGGCCUGAGCAAGGCCGGCGCCUGUCCUGUGAGCGUGCGCAGGCCUCUCUCGGCUCUCCCAUGGCCUGGGCUGGGGCCGAAGGGGAUGGAGCCGCAGCACAAUGGAUCGAGCAACCGGAGUGGGCCCGGAGAGGGGACUCUCCUUCCCUACACGCCCUUGGAGACGGCGCUCAUCCUGUUGGCGGUGCUGACGAUGGCCUUUGUGACACUGAUGGGGAACAUUCUGGUGGUGAUGGCGGUGUGCACCAGCCGGGCGCUCCGGGCCCCGCAGAAUCUCUUCGUGGUCUCUCUGGCCGUGGCGGACAUCCUGGUGGCCACCCUCAUCAUCCCUUUCUCCUUGGCCAAUGAGGUCAUGGACUACUGGUGCUUUGGCAACCUCUGGUGCCGGCUCUACCUGUCGCUGGACGUGCUCUUCUGCACCUCCUCCAUCAUGCACCUCUGUGCCAUCAGCCUGGAUCGGUACUGGGCGGUCACCCGGGCCGCCCGGUACAACCUCAAAAGGAGCCCCCGGAGGGUCAAGAUCACCAUCGCAUGCAUCUGGGUCAUUGCCGCCCUGGUCGCCUUGCCGCCUCUUUUCAAGACAUCUCCUGAGGACAAUGUGUGCUUGCUCCACGAUGACACCUGGUACGUGCUGGCUUCCUGCACGGCCUCCUUCUUCGCCCCCUGCUUCAUCAUGGUGGCUGUCUACUGCCGGAUCUACCAUGUGGCCAAGCACAGGAACUCUGCGAUCAUUGCAGCAAGGCGGGCCUCCCAUCCCACCUUCAAAUCUGUGGGCAAGCAUGACACCAGGACGGUGAGCACCCAGCAGUACUUUGAGGAAGGGCCGAACAAAGUCUUGGAGCACAGCCAGCUUGCCCGUGUCCAGCCAAACCUGCCCCGUCUCUCUUGGGAAAGGAGGUUGGAAGAGAUGGGCAGCAGUGGGGCCGGUCCAUGCAGGACCCCACGGCUGUCUUGGUCCAUGCCCAACUGCCAACAGAAGCGCAGAAGUCGGGACAUGUCCUUUUCCUCUGGCCAGCAGCGGCGCAGAAGCCGGGACAUGUCCUUCUCCUCUGGCCAGCAGAGGCGCAGAAGUCGGGACAUGUCCUUCUCCUCCCACCGGCUGAUGCAGGCACGGGAGCGCAGGUUCACCUUUGUCCUGGCUUUCAUCAUUGGAGCAUUUGUGCUCUGUUGGUUUCCGUUCUUCUUCAUGUACAGCCUCGAAUCUGUGCUUGGGAAAGACUGCUGCAUCUCCAGGACUCUCUUCAAAUUCUUCUUCUGGAUCGGUUACUGCAAUAGCAGCUUCAACCCUAUCAUUUACACUAUCUUCAACCGGGACUUCCGCAAAGCCUUCCAGCACCUUCUGUGCCAGGCUGAUCCACUUCGGCAUCUAAAAUGAGGAUCUUGGCAGAGAGUUGGUGGAGCGUGUAAGUGAGAAAGACAGUAGUGCACAGAGCCUUGCAGGCCGGGGAUUAUAAAACAAGUAACUGUGCCUCACAGGUUUCUGUAUCACCUUUGGGCCUGAAUUGCAGUAUUUGUGACCGACACCCUCCUCAGAGAGAGCAGCAAUACAGGGAGACUUGGCAAAGUCAUUCAUCUCCAGAGGGCACUGGACACAGGAGCAGAAAACAAGAGACUGGUCAGUCCCAUCUAUGUAACUUUGCGGAAUAUGUAGAAGAAGCCUGAUAGAAAGAUGUAUUUUCCUUGGGAGCAGAUUUACUGCAAGGACAAGGGUGGUUCUGGGAGAAAGCUAUUCUGUUCACUAUUUGCUCAGCCUGUCCCUAGCUUCAGGGACAAAGCUCGGGCCUUCAGGAUGUCUGCCUUGUGUCUCUGACUAGCCUGUCUGUUUCGAGAUCAGAGAGGAACUGGGUACCGCAAAAGGGAGAUCUGACGUUGAUUGAGUCAUUCAGCCAUCUGGCUUCGGGUCUGGGAAACAUUGCCCCAGAUCCCAAUAUGCUGGGCAGAUGCCAGCAAAAAACUUUGAAAAAUGGCUUUCUGUCAGUCACACUGUGUCCAGGGGACUUGUUGACUGUUUUGGGUGAGGCAAGGGCUCUGCCUUGUGAUAGGAUCCUGGGAUAUUUAACUUUAAAGAUACAACAUUUUCCUAGACUCUGGCUCCUGGAUGUUUCCAGCUGGUUAUUUUGCUCCAACUGUAUUGGCUCUUCUAAUUUUGGUCACACUGGGCAGACAAUUGGUCAUUCCAUGAUGUUAGGUAGAGAUUGCAAGCAGUCCCUGCAUCCAACUACUUGGGGUGCACCUAUACUGCAGAAUUAAUGCAGUUGGAUACUAUUUUAACUGCCAUGGUUCAAUACUAUGGCAUAAUGGGUCCUCGAAUUAUGCAAGAUCUUUAGCCUUCUCUGCCAAAGUGCAAAUCUUACCAAACUACAAAUCCCAGGAAUCCAUAGCAUCAGGCCAUGGCAGUUAAAAGUGCUGUUAAACUGCAUUAAUUUUACAGCACAAAUGCAGCCGUGGAGAUGUCUGCCUUUUCCUUUUACUCUAGUUUGUUUGUAGCAGUAUGUUCCAUUAGUCGGAGCUGAAUCCUUAGCACAGGUGCCUGUUCUCUCUAAUGUGUGCCCCCCAAACCUCAGGACCGAGGACCUGUUUCUUGUUUCUCCCCUCGCCUACAUUGCAUGUUUCCAUACACAACCCUCCUAAAUACUGCAAGAGGUGGAGGUGGACUCAGUUAUAAGUUUUAACUGCUCCAUACCUGAGUUUGUAUUUAGAUAACCUGUCCCAUUUCCCUGUCUUUAAAUCACGGUGUGUCAGGCACACAUUCAACAGAAGCAGCUUUUCUUCACAUAGCAAACAGGGGUGGGGAGCUAUUGCUAUUUAAUUUCUGUUCAUUCUGUACUCAUUAAAGAUAUGGUGCCUGUUUAAGAAGGAAACAAAAUGUGACGACUGUAAUGCUAAACGCUGAUCCACUGAUUAUGCAUUGUGGUCACAAGCUGCCUCUUUUAUAUGAUCCCCACUUAGCUAGAUGCCAACAACUCUUGCGAAGUAGGAUAAGAAGAAGACAUGAAAACAUUAUUUUUGUAAUUUGCUUUUCUGUAAAGCUGCUUCCUGUUUGUUUUGUUGUAGGAGUGAUCUUGUGGCGGGGAAAUGCAAUGAGAAAGUUUGGCCACAUGUUGGAAUGACAAAUGCCAUUUUUCUGCAACACAUCUAUACCAAGCCCACCAAUAGAGAGGGUGACUGCAUUUUACAUACAUCCAGCAUCAACAAUUCUGUGUUUAUAGAGAUCAACAAAAACUUCUUUAUGACAAACAUUUUAAGUAACUCACACAAAUGCACUCGGUAGUUUACUUUUUCCAGAAAAGAAAGAACUUCAAAGGAGAUGUAAACAUUGGAUAGAUUUGCAUGGAGACAGAACAUUUAAUUCAAUUAUUAUUUUACUGUAUAUACUCAUGUAUAAGUCUAGAAGAAAAACAGACAAAAACCCUAAGUGAGAUUACCUAUGGGUCUUUGUAAGUACUAUACCUUGAUUCUUAUUACAAAAUGAACCUUUCUCUGCAUAGAGUGCUGAACGGUGAGAGCUUAGUCCAUCCUGGGAGAACCUAAGCGAAGCACAGUCCGCCUGCUCUCUCUGCCAUGGUGCCAUGCCUGGCCUUUUAAAUGCUUGGCUGCCUGCCUGAGGUGCUGCUGGCACAUUCCCCUCUGCAUGGAAUGACCCUCAAAUUGCCCACAGGUCAUUUCAAAAUCCAUAAUUUUAGCCCCCAAACUCACCCUCAACUCUGUUCCAGAAAUUAAAGAAGUGGCACUUGGUACUCGGCACUUGUCAGGUCAGCAGCACUCUUUUCCAGACAAAGACUUGUUGAAUUCAAGUUUUGAUUGCCCACUCAGGUAGAUGUAAGAAAUAGACUGCAAACAGAAUGCACAUUUCUUUAAACAUCCAACGUUCCUGCCACAACAGCUAAGCUUCCCCAAUAUCUGACAUGUUUCAAACGUCUUCCAGAUUACAAGACAGAAUAUUCUUCCUGAUGGUUCUUGUCUGCUGAGAUUAGACUGGAAAUCUCUACCCGCUUAUCACAUUUAAUUUCUUCCUUGUUUUUUUUUUAAAUGCCAGUGGUCUCUUUUCCUUUGUAAAUGUAUUGAGUGUGAUAUGAACUGAGUGUCAAAACACAUGGCCAUACUUUGUUGAAGUUUCUGUUGCCCCCAAUCCACCCAUUCUCGAUUCCACAGGUUUAAACAUUUCCAAAGAUGUUGUGAACUUUCAAUUGAUCUUAAUAAAGCUAUUGCCCAACUGUGAA